UACGGAGGGUGCAAGCGUUAUCCGGAUUCACUGGGUUUAAAGGGUGCGUAGGUGGCUUUGUAAGUCAGUGGUGAAAUCUUAGAGCUUAACUCUAAAACUGCCUUUGAUACUGCUUAGCUUGAAUCAAGUAGAGGUGGAUGGAAUAUUACAUGUAGCGGUGAAAUGCUUAGAUAUGUAAUAGAACACCGAUUGCGAAGGCAGUUCACUAUGCUUGUAUUGACACUGAGGCACGAAAGCGUGGGGAUCAAACAGG
rnacentral:rRNA from 1 species